UACAGAGGGUGCGAGCGUUAAUCGGAAUUACUGGGCGUAAAGGGUGCGUAGGUGGUUAUGUAAGUUAAUUGUGAAAGUCCUGGGCUUAACCUGGGGAUUGCAUUUAAUACUGUGUAGCUAGAGUGUUGUAGAGGAAAGCGGAAUUUCCGGUGUAGCGGUGAAAUGCGUAGAUAUCGGAAGGAACAUCAGUGGCGAAGGCGGCUUUCUGGACAACAACUGACACUGAGGCACGAAAGCGUGGGGAGCAAACAGG
rnacentral:rRNA from 1 species